rnacentral:rRNA from 8 species
UUUCAACAACGGAUCUCUUGGUUCUGGCAUCGAUGAAGAACGCAGCGAAAUGCGAUAAGUAGUGUGAAUUGCAGAAUUCAGUGAAUCAUCGAAUCUUUGAACGCACAUUGCGCCCCUUGGUAUUCCAUGGGGCAUGCCUGUUCGAGCGUCAUUUGU